rnacentral:rRNA from 1 species
GACGAACGCUGGCGGCGUGCCUAAUACAUGCAAGUAGGACGCAGUUGCGAACGGGUGAGUAACGCGUAGGUAACUACCUAUUAGAGGGGGAUAACUAUUGGAAACGAUAGCUAAUACCGCAUACUAGUAGAUGGACCUUCGUUGUAUUAGCUAGUAGGUAGGGUAAUGGGCUACCUAGGCAACGAUACAUAACCUAGCUGGGAGGGUGAGCGGGCAAACUUGGAAUGAGAAACGGCCCAGACGCCCACGGGAGGCAGCAGUAGGGAAUCUUCGGAAAUGGGGGGAAACCUUACCGAGCAACGCCGCGGGAGUGAAGAAGGUUUUCGGAUCGUAAAGCUCUGUUGUUAAGGAAGCGGUACUUAACCAGAAAGGGACGGCUAACUACGUGCCAGCAGCCGCGGUAAUAC